GUCCACGCCGUAAACGUUGGGCACUAGGUGUGGGGAGUAAUCAACCCUCUCCGUGCCGUAGCUAACGCAUUAAGUGCCCCGCCUGGGGAGUACGGCCGCAAGGCUAAAACUCAAAGGAAUUGACGGGGCCCGCACAAGCGGCGGAGCAUGUUGCUUAAUUCGAGGCAACGCGAAGAACCUUACCUGGGUUUGACAUGUACGGAAAAGCCAUAGAGAUAUGGUGUCCUUCGGGGCCGUACACAGGUGGUGCAUGGCUGUCGU
rnacentral:rRNA from 1 species